rnacentral:rRNA from 1 species
UACGUCCCUGCCCUUUGUACACACCGCCCGUCGCUACUACCGAUUGAAUGGCUCAGUGAGGCCUCCGGACUGGCUCGAAGAGGUUGGCAACGACCACUUCGAGCCGGAAAGUUCGUCAAACUCGGUCAUUUAGAGGAAGUAAAAGUCGUAACAAGGUUUCCGUAGGUGAACCUGCGGAAGGAUCGUUACCUAGAGUUGUAGGCUUUGCCUACCAUCUCUUACCCAUGUCUUUUGAGUACCUUCGUUUCCUCGGCGGGUCCGCCCGCCGAUUGGACAAACUUAAACCCUUUGUAAUUGAAAUCAGCGUCUGAAAAAACAUAAUAGUUACAACUUUCAACAACGGAUCUCUUGGUUCUGGCAUCGAUGAAGAACGCAGCGAAAUGCGAUAAGUAGUGUGAAUUGCAGAAUUCAGUGAAUCAUCGAAUCUUUGAACGCACAUUGCGCCCCUUGGUAUUCCAUGGGGCAUGCCUGUUCGAGCGUCAUUUGUACCUUCAAGCUCUGCUUGGUGUUGGGUGUUUGUCUCGCCUUUGCGUGUAGACUCGCCUUAAAACAAUUGGCAGCCGGCGUAUUGAUUUCGGAGCGCAGUACAUCUCGCGCUUUGCACUCAUAACGACGACGUCCAAAAAGUACUUUUUACACUCUUGACCUCGGAUCAGGUAGGGAUACCCGCUGAACUUAAGCAUAUCAAUAAGCGGAGGAAAAGAAACCAACAGGGAUUGCCCUAGUAACGGCGAGUGAAGCGGCAACAGCUCAAAUUUGAAAUCUGGCGUCUUUGGCGUCCGAGUUGUAAUUUGCAGAGGGCGCUUUGGCAUUGGCAGCGGUCCAAGUUCCUUGGAACAGGACGUCA